UACGGGAGGCAGCAGUGGGGAAUAUUGCACAAUGGGCGCAAGCCUGAUGCAGCCAUGCCGCGUGUAUGAAGAAGGCCUUCGGGUUGUAAAGUACUUUCAGUCGUGAGGAAGGUGUUAAGGUUAAUAACCUUAGCAAUUGACGUUAGCGACAGAAGAAGCACCGGCUAACUCCGUGCCAGCAGCCGCGGUAAUACGGAGGGUGCGAGCGUUAAUCGGAAUUACUGGGCGUAAAGGGCACGCAGGCGGUUAAUUAAGUUGGAUGUGAAAUCCCCGGGCUUAACCUGGGAAUGGCAUUCAAGACUGGUUAGCUAGAGUCUUGUAGAGGGGGUUAGAAUUCCAUGUGUAGCGGUGAAAUGCGUAGAGAUGUGGAGGAAUACCGGUGGCGAAGGCGGCCCCUGGACAAAGACUGACGCUCAUGUGCGAAAGCGUGGGGAGCAAACAGGAUUAGAUACC
rnacentral:rRNA from 1 species